rnacentral:misc_RNA from 1 species
UGGCUCUCGCAUCGAUGAAGAACGCAGCGAAAUGCGAUAAGUAAUGUGAAUUGCAGAAUUCAGUGAAUCAUCGAAUCUUUGAACGCACCUUGCGCUCCUUGGUAUUCCGAGGAGCACGCCUGUUCGAGUGUCAUGAAGCUCUCAAGCUUAGUCUUUUUGUUAAGACGAGUUUGGAUUUGAACUCUGCCGUGUAACAAACGGCUGGUUCUAAAAGCAUUAGCUGAUCCUAGUAAGGUUUUGGUUCUUACUUGACGUGAUAAUUAUCUAUCGUCAAGGACGUCUCUUAUAGAGGCGGCCAGAGUCUCAUUGGGAUUGCUUCUAAUGGUCUUUGAUUGACAAUAUUUCUUAAUCUGACCUCGAAUCAGGUGGGACUACCCGCUGA